CCGGCCCCUGCGCCCCGGCCCCGGUCCCCCGGGCCAUGCGGCCUCGGCCCCGCCGGCGCCCGCCGCGCACCCGAGAUGAGGCUCCGCAAUGGCACCUUCCUGACGCUGCUGCUCUUCUGUCUGUGCGCCUUCCUCUCGCUUUCCUGGUACGCGGCGCUCAGCGGCCAGAAAGGCGACGUAGUGGACGUUUACCAGCGGGAGUUCCUGGCACUGCGCGACCGAUUGCACGCGGCUGAGCAGGAGAGUCUUAAGCGCUCCAAGGAGCUCAACCUGGUGCUGGAUGAGAUCAAGAGAGCCGUGUCAGAGAGACAGGCGCUGCGAGACGGAGAAGGCAAUCGCACCUGGGGCCGCCUAACAGAGGAUCCCCGACUGAAGCCGUGGAACGUCUCGCACAGGCACGUGCUGCACCUGCCCACAGUCUUCCACCACUUGCCACACCUACUGGCCAAGGAGAGCAGUCUGCAACCAGCAGUGCGCGUGGGCCAGGGCCGCACAGGAGUGUCGGUGGUGAUGGGCAUCCCGAGCGUGCGGCGCGAGGUGCACUCGUACCUGACAGACACGCUGCACUCUCUCAUUUCUGAGCUGAGUCCGCAGGAGAAGGAAGACUCCGUCAUCGUGGUGCUGAUCGCCGAGACUGACUCUCAGUAUACAUCGGCAGUGACAGAGAACAUCAAGGCCUUGUUCCCCACGGAGAUCCAUUCCGGGCUCCUGGAGGUCAUUUCCCCUUCCCCUCACUUCUACCCUGACUUCUCCCGCCUCCGAGAGUCCUUUGGGGACCCCAAGGAGAGAGUCAGGUGGAGGACCAAACAGAACCUCGAUUAUUGUUUCCUCAUGAUGUAUGCGCAGUCCAAAGGCAUCUACUAUGUACAGCUGGAGGAUGACAUCGUAGCCAAACCCAACUACCUGAGCACCAUGAAGAACUUCGCACUGCAGCAACCCUCAGAGGACUGGAUGAUCCUGGAGUUCUCCCAGCUGGGCUUCAUUGGAAAGAUGUUCAAGUCAUUGGACCUGAGCCUGAUUGUGGAGUUCAUCCUCAUGUUCUACCGGGACAAGCCCAUUGACUGGCUUCUGGACCAUAUUCUCUGGGUGAAGGUCUGCAACCCUGAAAAGGAUGCGAAGCAUUGUGACCGGCAGAAGGCCAACCUUCGGAUCCGCUUUAAGCCGUCCCUCUUCCAGCAUGUGGGCACUCACUCGUCACUGGCCGGCAAAAUCCAGAAACUGAAGGACAAGGAUUUUGGAAAGCAGGCCCUGAGGAAGGAGCAUGUGAACCCACCCGCUGAGGUGAGCACAAGCCUGAAGACAUACCAGCAUUUCACCCUGGAGAAGGCCUACCUACGUGAGGAUUUCUUCUGGGCGUUCACACCUGCUGCAGGGGACUUCAUCCGCUUCCGCUUCUUCCAACCAUUACGCCUUGAGCGGUUCUUCUUCCGCAGCGGGAACAUUGAGCACCCAGAAGACAAGCUCUUCAACACUUCUGUGGAGGUGCUGCCCUUUGACAAUCCCCAGUCAGAGAAGGAGGCCCUGCAGGAGGGCCGCUCAGCCACUCUUCGUUAUCCUCGGAGCCCUGAUGGCUACCUUCAGAUAGCACUGCCCUCCCCUAGGCUCCUUCUACAAGGGUGUGGCAGAAGGUGAGGUAGACCCUGCCUUUGGACCCCUGGAAGCACUGCGUCUGUCCAUUCAGACUGAUUCCCCAGUGUGGGUCAUUCUGAGUGAGAUCUUCCUGAAAAAAGCCGACUGAGCGAGGGCUUCUGAGGGUGCUCUGUGGCCAGCCCUGAAGCCCAUGUGUCCAAGGAUGUUGUCGUUGCUGCCCCCGGAGGGCCAGGCGCAUCCAUCCUGUCCAGAGGGUUCUGUGCAAGGCCUGGGGUCCACCGCUGGCCCGGAGGCCCCAGGAGCUGGUGCUGCCCCUGCCCGCCGGCCGCGGGAAGAGGCAGGCGGCCCCCACACUGUGCCUGAGGGCUGGCCCACUGGCUGCCCGCCGGAACUGUUCACACCCAGCCAGCUGGCUUGGGCCAGGCCGUUUUAGAAGAGCUUUUUCUUGGGCGCCCACUGUCUCUGGCGCGAACACUGGAAUGCAUAUACUACUUUAUGUGCUGUGUUUUUUAUUCUUGGAUACAUUUGAUUUUUUCACGUAAGUCCACAUAUACUUCUAUAAGAGCGUGACUUGUAAUAAAGGAUUAAUGAAG